AUGUAACGGGGCUAAGUAGUAAACCGAAGCUGCGGCAAUGUGCUUUUGCACAUUGGGUAGGGGAGCGUUCUGUAAGCGGUUGAAGGUGUGUGGUAACGCAUGCUGGACGUAUCAGAAGUGCGAAUGCUGACAUGAGUAACGAUAAAGGGGGUGAAAAACCUCCUCGCCGGAAGACCAAGGGUUCCUGUCCAACGUUAAUCGGGGCAGGGUAAGUCGACCCCUAAGGCGAGGCCGAAAGGCGUAGUCGAUGGGAAACGGGUUAAUAUUCCCGUACUUCUUACAAUUGCGAUGGGGGGACGGAGAAGGCUAGGUGGGCCUGGCGACGGUUGUCCAGGUUCAAGUGCGUAGGCUUAAGAGUUAGGUAAAUCCGGCUCUUUUUAAGGCUGAGACACGACGUCGAGCACCUACGGGUGUGAAGUCAUUGAUGCCAUGCUUCCAGGAAAAGCCUCUAAGCUUCAGAUUGUAAGGAAUCGUACCCCAAACCGACACAGGUGGUCGGGUAGAGAAUACCAAGGCGCUUGAGAGAACUCGGGUGAAGGAACUAGGCAAAAUGGUACCGUAACUUCGGGAGAAGGUACGCUCUUGAUGGUGAAGUCCCUUGCGGAUGGAGCUGACGAGAGUCGCAGAUACCAGGUGGCUGCAACUGUUUAUUAAAAACACAGCACUGUGCAAAAUCGUAAGAUGACGUAUACGGUGUGACGCCUGCCCGGUGCCGGAAGGUUAAUUGAUGGGGUUAGACUUCGGUCGAAGCUCUUGAUCGAAGCCCCGGUAAACGGCGGCCGUAACUAUAACGGUCCUAAGGUAGCGAAAUUCCUUGUCGGGUAAGUUCCGACCUGCACGAAUGGCGUAAUGAUGGCCACGCUGUCUCCACCCGAGACUCAGUGAAAUUGAAAUCGCUGUGAAGAUGCAGUGUACCCGCGGCUAGACGGAAAGACCCCGUGAACCUUUACUACAGCUUGGCACUGAACAUUGACCCUACAUGUGUAGGAUAGGUGGGAGGCUUUGAAGCACGUACGCCAGUAUGUGUGGAGCCGUCCUUGAAAUACCACCCUUGUAGUGUUGAUGUUCUAACGUCGACCCCUAAUCGGGGUUGCGGACAGUGCCUGGUGGGUAGUUUGACUGGGGCGGUCUCCUCCCAAAGAGUAACGGAGGAGCACGAAGGUGGGCUAAUCACGGUUGGACAUCGUGAGGUUAGUGCAAUGGCAUAAGCCCGCUUGACUGCGAGAAUGACAAUUCGAGCAGGUGCGAAAGCAGGUCAUAGUGAUCCGGUGGUUCUGAAUGGAAGGGCCAUCGCUCAACGGAUAAAAGGUACUCCGGGGAUAACAGGCUGAUACCGCCCAAGAGUUCAUAUCGACGGCGGUGUUUGGCACCUCGAUGUCGGCUCAUCACAUC
rnacentral:rRNA from 1 species